GUAGGAGGCGAGCGUUAUCCGGAUUCACUGGGCGUAAAGCGCGUGCAGGUGGUUCGGUAAGUUGGGCGUGAAAUCUCCCGGCUCAACUGGGAGAGGUCGUACAAUACUACCGAACUUGAGAGCAGAAGAGGAAGAUGGAAUUCCCGGUGUAGUGGUGAAAUGCGUAGAUAUCGGGAGGAACACCAGUGGCGAAGGCGAUCUUCUGGUCUGUUUCUGACACUCAGACGCGACAGCUAGGGUAGUAAACGGGAUUAGAGACCCCGGUAAUCCUAGCCGUAAACGAUGUGAACUUGGCGUUGGUGGGUUAAACUCCAUCAGUGGCGAAGCAAACGCGAUAAGUUCACCGCCUGGGGACUACGGCCGCAAGGUUA
rnacentral:rRNA from 1 species